UACGUAGGUGGCAAGCGUUGUCCGGAUUUACUGGGCGUAAAGAGCGCGCAGGCGGUCGUUCAAGUCGCGUGUGAAAGCCCCCGGCUCAACUGGGGAGGGUCACGCGAUACUGAUCGACUCGAAGGCAGGAGAGGGAAGUGGAAUUCCCGGUGUAGUGGUGAAAUGCGUAGAUAUCGGGAGGAACACCAGUGGCGAAGGCGGCUCUCUGGUCCAAAACUGACGCUGAGGGGCGAAAGCGUGGGGAGCGAACGGG
rnacentral:rRNA from 1 species